rnacentral:tRNA from 6 species
UCAAAAAAGCCGGAAUAGC